rnacentral:rRNA from 1 species
UACGAAGGGGGCUAGCGUUGUUCGGAAUUACUGGGCGUAAAGCGCACGUAGGCGGAUAUUUAAGUCAGGGGUGAAAUCCCAGAGCUCAACUUUGGAACUGCCUUUGAUACUGGGUAUCUCGAGUAUGGAAGAGGUGAGUGGAAUUCCGAGUGUAGAGGUGAAAUUCGUAGAUAUUCGCAAGAACGCCAGUGGCGAAGGCGGCUCACUGGCCCGAUACUGACGCUGAGGCACGAAAGCGUGGGGAGCAAAC